rnacentral:rRNA from 1 species
UCAAGUGAAUAAGGGCAUACGGUGGAUGCCUUGGCGGAAACAGGCGAUGAAGGACGUGGGUACCUGCGAAAAGCCUCGGGGAGCUGGUAAACGAGCGGUGAUCCGGGGAUGUCCGAAUGGGGAAACCCAACCCGAGGGAUCGGGUUAUUGCCACUGGAAUACAUAAGGUGGCAAGGCGAACGCGGUGAACUGAAACAUCUCAGUAGCUGCAGGAACAGAAAUCAACCGAGAUUCCCCCAGUAGCGGCGAGCGAACGGGGAGGAGCCAUCACGAUGUAGCCACGGACUUAGGAGAACGCUCUGGGAAGGGCGGCCGUAGUGGGUGAGAGCCCCGUAUCCGAAAAGUUGGUGGUGGAACUAGGCGUGAGACAAGUAGGGCGGGACACGUGGAAUCCUGUCUGAAGAUGGGGGGACCAUCCUCCAAGGCUAAAUACUCGUUUCCGACCGAUAGUGAACCAGUACCGUGAGGGAAAGGCGAAAAGAACCCCGGAGAGGGGAGUGAAAUAGAUCCUGAAACCGUAUGCCUACAAGCAGUGGGAGCCCCUACGGGGGUGACUGCGUACCUUUUGUAUCAUGGGUCAGCGACUUACUUUCUGUGGCGAGCUUAACCGAAGAGGGGAGGCGUAGGGAAACCGAGUCUGAAUAGGGCGACAGUCGCAGGGAGUAGACCCGAAACCGGACGAUCUAUCCAUGGUCAGGAUGAAGGUGGGGUAAUGCCCACUGGAGGUCCGAACCCACGCCCGUUGAAAAGGUCGGGGAUGAACUGUGGAUAGGAGUGAAAGGCUAAACAAGUCCGGAGAUAGCUGGUUCUCCCCGAAAGCUAUUGAGGUAGCGCGUCGCGUAGUACUGCCGGGGGUAGAGCACUGUUACGGCUAGGGGGCUGUCACGGCUUACCAACCCGUUGCAAACUCCGAAUACCGGCACGUAGCGCGCGGCAGACAGACGGCGGGUGCUAACGUCCGUCGUCAAGAGGGAUGAAAACCCAGACCGCCAGCUAAGGUCCCCAAAUAUGGCUCAGUGGGAAACGAUGUGGGAAGGCACAGACAGCUAGGAGGUUGGCUUAGAAGCAGCCAUCCUUUAAAGAAAGCGUAAUAGCUCACUAGUCGAGUCGGCCUGCGCGGAAGAUUUAACGGGGCUCAAGCCAUAUACCGAAGCUGCGGGUGUGUUCUUCGGAACGCGCGGUAGGGGAGCGUUCGGUAAGCCGGUGAAGGUGUGUCGGAAGGCAUGCUGGAGGUAUCCGAAGUGCGAAUGCUGACAUGAGUAGCGAUAAAGGGUGUGAAAACCACCCUCGCCGUAAGCCCAAGGGUUCCUGCGUCAAGUCAAUCUGCGCAGGGUGAGUCGGCCCCUAAGGCGAGGCCGAGAGGCGUAGCUGAUGGGAAAUCGGUUAAUAUUCCGAUACCGUUGCAGGAUGCGAUGGGGUGACGGAGAAAGGUAGCGUAGCCGGGUGUUGGACGUCCUGGUUUAAGCGUGUAGGGAGUCUCCUUAGGCAAAUCCGGGGAGGCAAUUCCGAGGCGUGAUGACGAUCCUCUACGGAGGAGAAGUACGUGAACCUCAGCUUCCAAGAAAAGCCUCUAAGCACAAUCCUGUAGUGACCGUACCCCAAACCGACACAGGUGGGCAGGAAGAAUAUUCCCAGGCGCUUGAGAGACCUCGGGUGAAGGAACUCGGCAAAUUGACACCGUAACUUCGGAAGAAGGUGUGCCCUAGUAGGUUGUAGUUCCUUGCGGACGAAGGCCGAGAGGGUCGCAGAGAAUCGGUGGCUGCAACUGUUUAACAAAAACACAGGGCUCUGCAAAGACGAAAGUCGACGUAUAGGGUCUGACGCCUGCCCGGUGCCGGAAGGUUAAGUGAGGGGGUGCAAGCUCUUGAUCGAAGCCCCGGUAAACGGCGGCCGUAACUAUAACGGUCCUAAGGUAGCGAAAUUCCUUGUCGGGUAAGUUCCGACCUGC